CAGUCGCCGCGGGAAUACAGAGGGUGCAAGCGUUAAUCGGAAUUACUGGGCGUAAAGCGCACGCAGGCGGUUGGUUAAGUCAGAUGUGAAAGCCCCGGGCUCAACCUGGGAAUUGCAUUUGAAACUGGCCAACUAGAGUAUGUGAGAGGGGGGUAGAAUUCCAAGUGUAGCGGUGAAAUGCGUAGAGAUUUGGAGGAAUACCAGUGGCGAAGGCGGCCCCCUGGCACAAUACUGACGCUCAGGUGCGAAAGCGUGGGGAGCAAACAGGAUUAGAUACCCCUGUAGUCCCUGUCUCUUAUAA
rnacentral:rRNA from 1 species